rnacentral:rRNA from 1 species
CGAAAUGCGAUAAGUAAUGCGAAUUGCAGAAUUUCCGUGAGUCAUCGAAUCUUUGAACGCACAUUGCG